GGGGGAUUAGCUCAGUUGGCUAGAGCGCUUCCAUGGCAUGGAAGAGGUCAUCGGUUCGAAUCCGAUAUUCUCCA
rnacentral:tRNA from 2 species